UCCCUCUUAGCUCAGUGGUAGAGCGCGUCACUAGUAUGUAUCACAAACAUGAUGUGCCAUAUGACGAGGUCAGUCGUUCAAGUCGGCUAGAGGGAA